CUUCAUUCAGGAGGAAUGUGGAGAUAAAUGCCCACAAGUGCAUCGCUGAUAUGUCCUACCAAACAAGGUAGAUAGACUAGCAAUCGUGCUAUCAGUGUUUGCCCCAGCUGUUUUGACACUGUUGUUAGGUUUCAAGGAAUGGUGGCUUUCAUGUGCUUGGCUAAUUCCAGCCUGAAAGUAGCACAAUGCUUCAUGUACAGAUGAUCAAAAGUACCUGGAUAAAGCCAAAACUCAGGAAACUCAACUUGUACCAUGCUGUAUGGGAUGCUAGGGAGAAGUUCAAAAGAUUUCUAGGCAAAAUAACCUUGUUGUCUCCCUAAAUAUGUUCCAAGUAGCCUGAAUCCCUCUCCUACACCUUGUGAAAAUCUUUUUUCUGCAAUUCAAUAUCAAAAUUAGAGAAAAAUAGAGAGUAAUAUAUUACAGAAAAAACAGAAAUGGAAGGUAGCAGCAAGUUGUAAUGCAGUUUCUACAAGUGGAAGAUUAGAGAGGAAUGUUCCAUUCAGGUGGCUUGAAGAUCCUCCUACAAAUGAAUUCUGAGUUUUUGGUGUUUCUUUCUUUUCCUUCAGUUUGUUAAAUGUGCCCAUAAUGUUAAACAAAAAAGACCCAAUAAAACAAAAAUGGCAGAAAUUUUC